CUUCUCUUCUUCUCUUCUUCUUCUCUUCUUCUUUUCUUCUUGUCCUUCUUAUUUUUGGUCUUCUCCUCCUCUUCUUCUUCUUCUUCUUCUUCUUCUUCUCCUCCUCCUCUUCUUCUCUUCUCCUCCUCCGCCUCUUCUUCUUCUUCCUAUUCUUUCAAUUAAGCUAACUAACUAGCUAACUUAACUAACCAAGCUAACUAAACCUAUCGCUAAACCUAGAUAGCACUAAACAACAAAAAAAAAGAAUCUACCACUAAGUAACAAAAAAAGAAUCUAGCUACCACCAAAAUACCAAACAAUGAAAAAUCAACUUCUUCUUCUUUUUUCUGUUAUGCUCCUUCUUAUUUUUUUUCUUAUUCUCUUCUUCUUUACUUCUUCUCCUUCUUAUUUUUUCUUCUCUUCUUCUUCUUCUUCUUCUUCUUCUUCUCCUUCUUAUUUUUUUUCUUCUCCUCUUCUUCUUCUUCUUCUUCUUAUUCUUCUUCUUCUUCUUCUUCUUCUUCUUCUUUUCUU
rnacentral:lncRNA from 1 species